GUAAGGACAUGUGGAGCGCUUAGAAGUGAGAAUGCCGGUGUGAGUAGCGAAAGACGGGUGAGAAUCCCGUCCACCGAUUGACUAAGGUUUCCAGAGGAAGGCUCGUCCGCUCUGGGUUAGUCGGGUCCUAAGCUGAGGCCGACAGGCGUAGGCGAUGGAUAACAGGUUGAUAUUCCUGUACCACCUAUAAUCGUUUUAAUCGAUGGGGGGACGCAGUAGGAUAGGCGAAGCGUGCGAUUGGAUUGCACGUCUAAGCAGUAAGGCUGAGUAUUAGGCAAAUCCGGUACUCGUUAAGGCU
rnacentral:rRNA from 1 species